GCCCCACAAUUUCCUUAAGAAUAGUAAAAUUUAGUGUCAUGCCCUCGCAUUCCUUCUUGAAAAAAACUCAUUUUUUCUCUUAAGAACAGUGGAAUUACCGCCCCAUCCCUUCCACUUUGUCUAAAUUCUUCUACUCUUCUCUUUCCCCUCCCUUUGCAAAUCUCUAUUCUCUCUCUUUCCCGACAGCGAAUUCCAAUUCCAAUUCCCGUUUGAAGAAAUUGAUGCUCAAAGAAAAUUAAAACAUUGAAACUUAAUUAUGUGGCGAUGACGAUGAGAUUUAGCGAUUCUUAAAAAAUAAAAUGACAAUCGACGAUGACAGAGACUGAGAGAGGAGAGAGUUCAAGGAGAGACUGAGAGAGGAGACCUUGUCGCAGCUGCACCUAAUCUUUCUCCUAGGGUUUAUCAAUUCGAGCAUCAAUGACGUCUCUUGCUGAAUGUACUUUUAUUCGUCUUUACAGUUUAAUUUUUUCGUUGGUGCACGAUUUAUUUAUGCUUGUAAUAUUUCAGUUAAAAUAUCAUCACCCUAAUAUCAUAUUUUCA